rnacentral:lncRNA from 1 species
CUAAACCCUAAACAUAAACCCUAAACCCUAAAACCCUAAACCUUCAAAUAUAAACCCUAAAACAUCAACUCUAGGGUUUUGGGGUUUUAGGGUUUAGGGUUUAGGGGUUUAGAUUUCAAGGUUUAGGGUUUAGAGUUUAGAGUUGAUGUUUUAGGGUUUAGGGUUAAUUUUUUAGGGUUUAGGGUUUAAAGUUUACUUUAUAGGGUUUAGGGUUUAGUGUUGAUAGUUUAGGGUUUAGUGUUGAUGGUUUAGGGUUUAGAGUUUAAGUUUAGGGUUUAGGGUUUAGAGUUGAUGUUUUAGGGUUUAGAGUUUAGAGUUGAUGUUUCGAGGUUUAGGGUUUAGGGUUGAUGUUUUAGGGUUUAGGGUUCGUAUUUCAAAAAAAAAGGUUUAGGAUUGAUGGUUUAGGGUUUAGGGUUUAGGGUUUGUAUUUAAAAAAAUGAUUUAUGAUUGAUGGUUUAGGGUUUAGAGUUGAGUUUUAGGGUUUAGGGUUUGAAUUUCGAAAUAGUAUAAUUUGAAAAAAAAAUUAAAAAAUUAUUUUUUAUUUUUUUAGAUAUUUAUUUAUUUAAAUAUUUAUUUAUUAUAUAUAUAAAGAACAAUGACAUAAGAGUCUUUUGCCACUUAAUGAAUAACGUAUUUUUGAAAAUGUCCCUUUAGUAGUGAUAAAAAUGAAAAGUGGUAGCAUGAAAUUGGUAAACAUGUAAUUUCCCCUAAAAUUUAUUAAUUUACUUUUAAGAUC